CACCCAUUAAUGAGACCAUAUACAGACACGCACAACAAAGGUGGUGGCUUCAGAAAACAAGUGCAAGCACAUCUAGGUCUUCUGGCUUUAAGAUGUUGCUAUAGUUACUUCUGGUGCUAUAGUGUAAGGUGUUGUAGUCCUCUGGGGAAUACUGCUGUUCCUAUAGUUACUUCUGGUGCUGUAGUGUAAGGUGGUGUGGUCCUCUGGGGAAUACUGCUGUUGCUAUAGUUACUUCUGUUGCUGUAGUGUAAGGUGGUGUGGUCCUCUGGGGAAUAAAGCUGUUGCUAUAGUUUAAGGUGUUGUAGUCUUUUAAGUUAAUGUUGAUUAGGGCACUGCAUAAGUUAAAAUACUCUCUAAAGAGGCUUGUGGAAGGGCUGUCCCACGCUCUAGAGGACGCGUGGUCUGGAUACAGCUUGGCGCUGGCGCAGGUGCUGAGUGUGUUUGAGGAGAUUUCACUUAAAAGCACACUAGAUCAGAUCAAGGAGAAACACAACCUGCAGACAGCCAAGAAGAAACAGAUCUGAAAUGUUGCGUUUGGGAAUUUCUUUGGAGUGCUGGCCUUGUCUCAGUCCAUACGACUACACAAGGAGCCACAGGUGCUGUUGGAGUGUGUUAAGCUGUUACAGAGUCUGGCUCAGUACAGGGAUCACCUGAGAGACCUGCCCAGGAAGACCAUGGUGGACAUCCUGAGUGAGGUGACACUUCUCUGCUCAGCCCCUCUAUAACCACACCU